UAUUAUUAUUAUUAUUAUUUUGGGUUAAUUAUAUACAGCUUUCUGUAAACAUAUCAAAUAGCAUAUAUAUUCUUACAAAGUACAACUUUUUAUAUUUAUUACUACAAAAGUCCUAAUAUUUUAAAUAUACUCCUAUUGUUAAGAUCCAUUAGAAAAAUAUAGCUAACAAUAAAUAAAAUAUUUAAUCCUGAUUAGUGAAUUAGAUAAAUUGGCUUUUUUACUUCUCUUAUAUUAUUUAUGAUGGUAGAAAAGAAGAAAAUAAUCGUCGGAGAUUUUUAGAAGAAUAUUUUUGCAUAAUUUUGAUAGUUCGGACUUUUGGAGAGAGAUAUUUGUGAUGACAACAUUUCAGUUAUAUUUUAUUAAAAAAUAAAUGAUACUCUGACGGUAAUAAUCCAGAUGGACAAAUAUGAAUUUUACUAGACUUUUUCAGAAAUAAAUAUAAAAAAAUUAAAUUUUGUAGGAAUAAAUUUGUUCCUUAUUUUUUUUAGAUUAAUUUCGUGCUAUUUCCCAAA
rnacentral:lncRNA from 1 species